AACCAAGUUUACGACCUCACCAAGUCACUAAGCAGAAUGCUAGUGCUGAAAAUAGCAAGGCAACCAAGCCAUGUGGUCAUCACCAAGUCACUAAGCAGG